rnacentral:ribozyme from 1 species
AUUUGGAUUCCUUAUGUAUCUUUCAUACAUAUAUCUAUUCUGUAACUUUUUCUUAAAUCGUUACAUUUUUAAGAAACCAAAAAGAAAGACAAAGUAAACGUCUAUUAAAGAAAAGGAAAAAUACAUAAUAAAAUCUCAAUUUU